AGCCGUGAAACAGAUUACUAAUAAAGGGUGAUGUCUAUAAGCACGUGCUCAUUGCGAAAGAACAUGAUGUAAAGAUUCAAAUACCGCAGCAAUUCAAAGCCAUAGACAAAAGAUGAAUUCUCAUUUGACUCCUCUAUCAAGCAAUAAAGCAUUGUAUAACUUCCUAUAGUGGUUCAGGACACAGCCUUGGAACUAGUCACCCUGCCAGGCAUAAUGAUACGCUUGCACUGCUUCACUAAAAUGUCCAACCUGUACAGAUAGGUAAAACUUUCUAACUAAGAAAGGUCCUUAAUCCCUUUCACUUCAGUGAAAUAUGGAGUUGCACAAGGGGGGUUGUCAGAACGCAUUAAAGCUGCAAGGCCCUUUAGAUAAAAGAAUGAUUAAAAUGAUAAACUUGUGGGAUGUCAGGCUGUGGCUAAGGCUGAAGGAGCUCGGAAUCUAUCCUGCGGGACCGUAUUCACAAAUUCCCGAAACGAUCUCUUUGGGCACUCUAAGCGGGGGUGCGCUCUCUGACGUCUUCUUUUGCUCUAGCGUUAUCUGAGGAGUAAAUUGGGCUCUGAAGGAUUCACGGUGUGUACGAUGUAUAGUUUUAAAAGAAACAAUAAAAGAAUACGAAAUGAAACAAGCGUAGCCUCUCGGCUGCCCUUGUUUGGGCUGAAAAGGCAGUAUUGGGUUAUCCCCCAGUGUGAGACAGACUGACUGACGGAGCGAGAGAGAGAGAGAUGUGCGUAUUCAUUAUAUGACCAUUUACGCCGUGAAAAAAACCCUUCAGCAUUCAGCCUGGAGCUGUUUCAUUUUUUACCUAUGCUAUAGUGUAUGAGACAACCUCCAAGUUAGCUAGCAUCUUAGUACUUCAAAACACAUCAUAUAUAUUUAGAAAAACACCUAAUAACUAAACCACCGGUUCCUUUCCCCGCCUCACCUGAACGUGGCUCCCAUCUGCUUCUGUCCACGAGCAACGGAGCACGCGGCAGAGCGCGAGCAAUCGCGCCAUUUUCCAGGCUACACUGCACCAUCAGGCUCCUUUGGGAUGGGUUUACACAAUCGAUACAAAGCUGAGGUUUUGACCUUGGACUUUGAUUGUUACAACGCACAAUGACUUCCACCAGAAACGCCCAGGUGUGUCGCGUGUCCAUGCGCAAUCCCAGUUGCCCAGUUGUAAAACGCAGUGUGAGCCCUCUGCUGCUGGAAUCCUGGAUGUGUCAGGCCAGGGCAGGGGGGACAUGGGGGGGACACGGGCUCCGGGUGUCGAGGCUCUGGGAUCCCAGUGGUGAUGUACAUCUACUGUACUUCAAAGCAAGGUUCCAAUGCGUCUGAGGAUAACAUCACAUUUUACAGGGGGGUUAAAGGCCAGAGUACAGUAUCAGGGAAUUCCACUAGGAGGGCUUUCCUUUUGGAUCUAUUAGAUGGACUUUAUGCCUGGAACGAUCUGGGAAAUAUCCACGGGAAAAGCUGGAAGACAAGCAAAGCAGACAGCCUCACUGACAAGGCAUUUACUGCUUGAAACUCUUUGUCCAACUUUUUAUGAUGAAUUCCCCAAUGACCUUAAAACAUGCUGUAGCAUUUCUCACCCUUCUGGGAAAACUGUGUUGCUACAUGUGUUUAACAACACGCAGGGAAAGCGACUUUGUAAUUUAAGAUGCAUUGCAUGACAAAGCAACAAAUAAACAGCAAAUACCCCAAUUAAUAUGUAAAAGUA